GCCAGGCACGGUGGCAUAUGCCCGUAGUCCCAGCUACUUGGGAGGCUAAGGUGAGAGGAUUGCUUGAGCCCAAGAGUUCUGGGCUGUAGUGUGCUAUGCUGAUAGGGUGUCCGCACUACGUUUGGCAUCAAUAUGGUGACCUCCUGGGAGCAGAGGACCACCAGGUUGCUUAAGGAGGAAUGAACCAGCCCAGGUCAGAAACAGAGCAGGUCAAAACUCCCAUGCUGAUCAGCACUGGGAUCGCCUGUGAAAAGCCACUGCACCCCGGCCUGGGCAACAUGGCAAUACCCUGUCUCU
rnacentral:SRP_RNA from 1 species